rnacentral:rRNA from 1 species
GACGAACGCUGGCGGCAUGCUUAACACAUGCAAGUCGAACGGAAAGGCCCUGCUUUUGUGGGGUGCUCGAGUGGCGAACGGGUGAGUAACACGUGAGUAACCUGCCCUUGACUUUGGGAUAACUUCAGGAAACUGGGGCUAAUACCGGAUAGGAGCUCCUGCUGCAUGGUGGGGGUUGGAAAGUUUCGGCGGUUGGGGAUGGACUCGCGGCUUAUCAGCUUGUUGGUGGGGUAGUGGCUUACCAAGGCUUUGACGGGUAGCCGGCCUGAGAGGGUGACCGGCCACAUUGGGACUUAGAUACGGCCCAGACUCCUACGGGAGGCAACAGUGGGGAAUAUUGCACAAUGGGCGGAAGCCUUAUGCAGCCACCCCGCGGGCGGGAAGACGGCCUUCGGGUUGUAAACCGCUUUCGCCUGUGACGAAGCGUGAGUGACGGUAAUGGGUAAAGAAGCACCGGCUAACUACGUG